rnacentral:rRNA from 1 species
CCUACGGGGGGCAGCAGUGGGGAAUAUUGGACAAUGGGCGAAAGCCUGAUCCAGCCAUGCCGCGUGUGUGAAGAAGGCCUUCGGGUUGUAAAGCACUUUCAGUGGGGAAGAAAGCCUUGGGGCGAAUACCCUCGAGGAAGGACAUCACCCACAGAAGAAGCACCGGCUAACUCCGUGCCAGCAGCCGCGGUAAUACGGAGGGUGCGAGCGUUAAUCGGAAUUACUGGGCGUAAAGCGCGCGUAGGCGGUCUGAUAAGCCGGUUGUGAAAGCCCCGGGCUCAACCUGGGAACGGCAUCCGGAACUGUCAGGCUAGAGUGCAGGAGAGGAAGGUAGAAUUCCCGGUGUAGCAGUGAAAUGCGUAGAGAUCGGGAGGAAUCCCAGUGGCGAAGGCGGCCUUCUGAACUGACACUGACGCUGAGGUGCGAAAGCGUGGGUAGCAAACAGGAUUAGAUACCCCAGUAGUC